AAGCUGGGUGGGGACUAGUCCCUGGGCUGCAGGCGCGGCUGCUACACAUACACACAGCGGCUGCCGCUCCGUGGGCAGCUCCUACUACUGCUGGGCUGGGCUGGCCUGCGCGGGGCGGGCUGCGCCGGAGCUCGCCUGCACACAGCCGCGCGGAGGGAGGAGAAAAGACACUCUUCUCAGGCCAGCCUCGGGAGCCAAGCCAGAUCUGCCAGUGAGCCUCCGGCUUUGGAAACUGAAGAGUGUGUCUGAAAAACCCACCCAGCAUUCCAAUGGCCAGCAACAACACCGCCAGCAUAGCACAAGCCAGGAAACUGGUAGAACAGCUGAAGAUGGAAGCCAACAUCGAUAGGAUAAAGGUGUCCAAGGCAGCUGCAGAUUUGAUGGCUUACUGUGAAGCGCAUGCCAAGGAAGAUCCCCUCCUGACGCCUGUUCCGGCUUCAGAGAACCCAUUUAGGGAGAAGAAGUUUUUCUGUGCUAUCCUUUAAGUCUUCGAGUGGGGCCUGAGGAGCCUCGGGGCUCCAGGGACACUGAUGUAGAGUUUUUAGCAAAGUGGGCGCCUUUCUAGUCCACAGCAUUUAAAGAGAGAGAGGAGAACCAUCCUGGAAACUCCAGGCUAUGCAUGUUUAAAGAAGUUGAUCCACACCCCGAGUUAAGAGAUCUGAUGUCUGCAGAGCUGCCUGGAGGAGGGGAAUGUGUAAAGAUAAAAUCGGUGUCAUUUCUUUCCCGCUCCCUCCCCAAACCUUAUGUUCCUGCUUCAUAUUUAAAAAAAAUAAAAAUUUAAACAGACAGCUGUACUGAGCUAAGAUAUGUAUGACCUUGGAAUGAAUAUUGCCUUUAGAAUACCCUCUGACAAGCUGAGUCGUCCAGUGUCGCCGCAGUUCGGUGUAAUGGCAUUGAUGUUUCGUCGUUGUGCCUUUUUCUUUUUCCCUUCUCUCCUGCCCCUCCUUCCAUCCCCCACCCCCAUUAGAGUAGUGAAGGGAUAAGACUGGACUUGUCUGUAAAACUGAACUCCAAGGAUGAUCACCCAAAGGGUUUAGGGAGAUGUUCCCUGUGGUUUAUCCUCAUUGUAAUAAUAACAGCAAAUGCCGGUUGUCUGUGUUCUUUUAUCACUAUUCCUAACAUUUGUACAUGAUAGCUUUGAUUCUGCAAGUAAAAGUAAAUCCUGUGUUGUGACUGGUGCUUUCAUAUAUUUGUGACAGUUUUUGAGUAAUACUGCAUGAAAAUGUCCCUAUGUUACAUCCAUUCAGAAGUUUCGUUGUUUUACUAUAAAGUUUGGAAAAGGAAUGAGAGACAUGAAGCUGGGGAGGAAAACACUCAGUAUCUUGGAAAUUGAGAUUACUUCAGAGCCUUAGCCUUGCCUAAAAUACCUCCGAGUUAACAGUUGCGUCAAUGGUGGCCUCCUCGAUGUAUUUUCCAGCAUCCAAAGCAUUUUGAUUUUAUUCAGGACCCAGGGCAGCCCAGGUAACGCCAAGCAGCAGAGGCAAGGAUUCACCCUUAGUUGGGAAAUGCUUUUGUCACAGAGUAAGAGCAAAUUCCUUUUCCCUGAAUCACAGAAAUUAUAGACUGAGGGAAGGCUUUGUGUGCUCUUCUUAGCGAGAAAGAAACGUGGCCCUCAUUCGUUGAAGUAGCAGGAGAAAUAUCCAAACGACUCCAGACUAGCGCUACUCUCAGUAUCCUGGCUAUUCACCCGCCAGGGAGAAGGGGGCAGGUGCCGCCCUGCAGCAGCUCCACCACGAAGUGUUCUUGUUUUGUUUUUGCCCCUGAGAUGGCCUUUGGUUUUCACUCAACAAAAUUUUUAGUAGAACCUUCGCUUUGUUUUUCUCCGCUUUAUUAGAGUCGCUCUGUCUUUAUUUACAACGUCCUUGCAGCUUGAGCUCUCUCUUCCCAAGAGAUGAUGUUGACAGUGACUUUUCUUUGUGGCUCUUGCCUCCACCGGUAAUGGGAGGCCCUGGAAGUCCUUCUCACUUUUUUCUGUGUCAUUCCUAGGCAAAUGAGGGCUCUUUUACAGCUCCUUGUUUGCUUCGAAAUCCCAAAAGUCCAUUUCUGAAUUAAUUUUAUUCUCUUUCCAUUCUCUUCCUCCCAUUUAAAAAAAAAAAAAAAGGUGGAAAGGAAGGGAAAAAGGCUUAAUAUGCCAAGGACAGAUUUUGAAACAGACUUGAUUAAUAUUUUCCUUAGCUCCUUGUAUGAGCAUAAUGGUAAAAGAAUCAAUACAUCCAAUUAGAACUCAUGCCUAGGGAGCUAGGGAAGAGAAUACUGAGACACUGUGAAAUGUAUGAAUGCACUUCUGUAACCAGAUACUUCUAUUCAAACCUUGGGAUUCUGUUAUAGUCAUGGGACACUGAUGAAGAUUUAGAGGGGAAAAAACCUUGGCAGAGUAUUAAACUACGGUAUUGUACCAUUGGCUUAGUAAUACUGUGGAAUCAGUUAAAACCCAACCACGUUUUUCAAAUGAGCCAAAAUAGGAAUUGAGUAUGUGGUCACAUAAAAACAACUGUGAAUAAAGCACCCUUUGGUGGUGAUGAAGGCAUUAUUAUAAGACCCUGAUGCUUUUCAUAAUCCAUAAUCCAUGUAUUUUUCUCAGAAGGCCUCUUUGUAUUUUCAUGUAAAUCUAGAUGUUUGGAGCAAUUAAAAUGGCAUUAAAACUUUUAGGAAUACAACUCUGUAAUUAAAAGUUAAGGAAGUUCCAAACUGCAUUUGACCUUGUUUAUCAAAGGAGAAAGAAGGCAGAAAAUACACAGCCAUCAGAUACUAAGUUUAAGAAAAAUAUGUUAGCUUUUUCCUAAUUUCAUGUCCUACUUUAUGGAAUUAUAAUGCCAGAGUUUUUAUAUGAGUUUUGACUUACUGGUAGUUUUACUUGUUAAGAGGGAAAUAACUUUUUGAUGACUUAUGCCUCUAAAGAGUUUUAAUUCUUUUAGAAAUUUUACAAUCAUUUUCACCAGCAUAAUUUUAUCUUAAAGGGUAACCAAUAGGAAAACUUAGCUCAAUCAUUCAAGGCCCUAAUUUAUGUAUGUAAUAUAUUGGAUAGUAAUGAAAAUCUGCCAUGGAACUCAUUAAACAGUAGUAAUAACCCUUGUAUUUAUAAUGCAAACUCUGUUAAGAAAAAAACAGUCUUCAUCAUCCUCAAUAUUAAAUCUGCUUUCUUUUUUUUUCUUUCAAUUUUAAACCAAGUGCUAUUUAAUUUAAGCCAGAGGUUGCGAAUCAGUACUUUGAACUGAGGCUAAUUUUGCUAAUAAUAUUUGAAAGAGAUUGCUUACCAAGGAAAAAUUAAAAAUUGUUUCUCCAUACUCUCCUAUUCUCAAAAGGAAUUUUGAGAAACCAAGCAUGCUGUCUUAGGGGAUUUUGUACUUUUUUUUUUUAAUAUUUGCUUCUAGCUGCUCCUGGCAAUGGUGAAUUGUUACAUAUACAUUAAUGUUUUCCCAGACCGAGAAUUGUUCCCAUUUUUCCUAUUUAAGAUCUAUGGAGUGUGUCUUUCAAAGAGAAAGGAAUACAGAAAUAUUAAAGCAGAAGAACCUGAAUGUGAUGUGUACAUUUUCAUCCCAUGUGGACAGUGUAUUUGUUUUAAUAAAUGGAAUUUUCAGAUUCA